UAGCCUAGUGGUUAAGGCUAUGGAUUGCCAAUCCAGAGACGGCGGGUUCGAUUCCCAU
rnacentral:tRNA from 1 species